rnacentral:rRNA from 1 species
CCCAGACUCCUACGGGAGGCAGCAGUGGGGAAUAUUGCACAAUGGGGGAAACCCUGAUGCAGCAACGCCGCGUGAGUGAAGAAGUAUUUCGGUAUGUAAAGCUCUAUCAGCAGGGAAGAAGAAGGACGGUACCUGACUAAGAAGCCCCGGCUAACUACGUGCCAGCAGCCGCGGUAAUACGUAGGGGGCGAGCGUUAUCCGGAUUUACUGGGUGUAAGGGGAGCGUAGACGGUUAAUCAAGUCUGAAGUGAAAGCCCGCGGCUCAACUGCGGAACGGCUUUGGAAACUGAGUAACUGGAGUGCUGGAGGGGCAGGCGGAAUUCCUGGUGUAGCGGUGAAAUGCGUAGAUAUCAGGAGGAACACCAGUGGCGAAGGCGGCUUACUGGACUGUAACUGACGUUGAGGCUCGAAAGCGUGGGGAGCAAACAGGAUUAGAUACCCCCGUA